AAACAUCGCCUCUUGAUCUAUAAAUAUAAGAGGUCUCGCCUGCCCAGUGACUAAAUGUUAAACGGCCGUGGUAUCUUAACCAUGCGAAGGUAGCGUAAUCACUUGUCUUUUAAAUGAAGACCUGUAUGAAUGGCAAAACGAGGGCUUAACUGUCUCCCUUCCCCAGUCAAUGAAAUUGACCUCCCCGUGCAGAGGCGGGGAUAAACAUAUAAGACGAGAAGACCCUGUGGAGCUUUAGACUUAAAAUAACCACGUUAAACAAACUCCAACAUGAGAAAAAACCUAGUGAGCUUUAUUUAAAUGUCUUUGGUUGGGGUGACCGCGGGGCAAAACACAGCCCCCAUGAAGAUAGGGGAGAUAUCCCUAACACUAAGAGUUACCCCUCUAAGCAACAAAAAUUUUGACUUUAAAAAUGAUCCGGUUUA
rnacentral:rRNA from 1 species